UAGCACAGGCUCUUGAAGUUGGUACUGGAAGUGUGUAAUUUCAGUAAAGCUUAUCAUUUAUUUUCAUAUUAUAAUUAUAUGUUGUCAAAGUCACAGAUCCUAAGUGUACAGUUAGAUGAGUUUUGACAAAAGUAUAACCAACAUUCAAAUCAACAUCUACAGUUGCAUUACCCUAGAAAAUCCUAUGACAUUUUACAAUAGUAUCUUGAUAAGAGGUCUCUCUCUCUUUCUAGGCAGACCACUUUGUCUCCUCUUUGGUGUUUGGAAGAACAGAAAAGGCAGAGUCUUACGAAGCCCGCUUGGCAAGGCCUGGAGCUCUCAAGCAUUAAUCCCAAGCAAGCAAGACUGA
rnacentral:lncRNA from 12 species